rnacentral:lncRNA from 1 species
GUGGGGCUCGUAACAUGGAUCUUGUCAAGAGCCUGGGGGCAGAUGAGGUUCUUGACUACAGGACUCCUGAUGGGGCGGCUCUGAAGAGCCCUUCUGGUCGCAAAUAUGAUUCAGUGAUCCACUGUGCAGUGGGCAUUCCUUGGUCUACCUUUGAGCCUAAUUUGAGUGCAAAUGGGAAGGUAAUAGAUAUUACUCCUAGCCCUAGUUCUUUAAUGACUUUUGCUUUGAAAAAGCUUACCUUCUCGAAGAAGCAGCUGGUUCCAUUAAUGCUGAUACCUAAGAAAAAGAACCUUGACUAUCUUGUGAAGUUGGUGGAGGAAGGAAAGCUUAAGACAGUAAUUGAUUCAAAGCAUCCCCUACGUAAGGCUGAAGAUGCUUGGGCUAAGA